rnacentral:rRNA from 1 species
UAACCAGGAUUCCCCUAGUAACUGCGAGUGAAGCGGGAUGAGCUCAAAUUUUGAAUCUGGCGGCCCUCGUCGGUCGUCCGAGUUGUAAUCUAGAGAAGCGUCUUCCGCGCUGGACCGUGUACAAGUCUCCUGGAACGGAGCGUCGCAGAGGGUGAGAAUCCCGUCUAUGACACGGACUGCCAGGGCCUCGUGCGAUGCGCUCUCGACGAGUCGAGUUGUUUGGGAAUGCAGCUCAAAUCGGGUGGUAAAUUCCAUCUAAAGCUAAAUACGGGCGAGAGACCGAUAGCGAACAAGUACCGUGAGGGAAAGAUGAAAAGAACUUUGGAAAGAGAGUUAAACAGUACGUGAAAUUGCUGAAAGGGAAACGCUCCGAGUCAGUCGCGUCGGCCGGGGAUCAGUCCUGCGGGCGAUCUCGCUUGCGGAGACGCAUUUCUCGGUCGACGGGUCAGCGUCGGUUUCGGCCGUCGCACAAGGGUCGGGGCGCACGUGGCAUCCCCAGGGGUGUGUUAUAGCCCCCGAUCGCAUGCGGCGAUUGGGACCGAGGAUCGCAGCGCGGGUCUCCCUUCGCGGGGAGGCCGCGAGGCCCCCCCUCCCUCACGGGGGGACGGGCCUACGUCCGCGCGCUUAGGACGCUGGCAUAAUGUCUCCGAGCGACCCGUCUUGAAACACGGACCAAGGAGUCUAACGCGCGCGCGAGUGUUCGGGUGCUUCAAACCCGAGCGCGCAGCGAAAACGAAAGUCGAGACCUCCGUCGCGGAGGGCACCGACGCCCGGACCCGAGCCUCGCGCGAGGGAUCUGCGGUCGAGCGCGUGCGUUGGGACCCGAAAGAUGGUGAACUAUGCCUGAAUAGGGCGAAGCCAGAGGAAACUCUGGUGGAGGCUCGCAGCGAUUCUGACGUGCAAAUCGAUCGUCGAAUUUGGGUAUAGGGGCGAAAGACUAAUCGAACCAUCUAGUAGCUGGUUCCCGCCGAAGUUUCCCUCAGGAUAGCAGAAGCUCGUCGCAUCAGAUUUAUGUGGUAAAGCGAAUGAUUAGAGGCCUUGGGGUCGCAACGACCUUAACCUAUUCUCAAACUUUGAAUAUGUAAGGACGGGCCGUCUCUCGAUUGGACCGCUCGGCGAUUGAGAGCUUCUAGUGGGCCAUUUUUGGUA